rnacentral:misc_RNA from 1 species
UACGGAGGGAGCGAACGUUGUUCGGAUUUACUGGGUGUAAAGGGUGCGUAGGCGGCUUCGUGUGUCAGGGGUGAAAUCCCACGGCUCAACCGUGGAAUUGCCUCUGAAACUGCGAAGCUUGAGUCCGUGAGGGGAAGGUGGAAUUCCUGGUGUAACGGUGAAAUGUGCAGAUAUCAGGAAGAACACCCGUGGCGAAGGCGGCCUUCUGGCACGGUACUGACGCUGAGGCACGAAAGCUAGGGUAUCGAACGGG